AGUAGAGUUUGAUCCUGGCUCAGGAUGAACGCUGGCGGUAUGCUUAACACAUGCAAGUCGAACGGGAUGCUUAGGCAUCUAGUGGCGGACGGGUGAGUAACGCGUGAGAAUCUGGCUCCAGGUCGGGGAUAACAGUUGGAAACGACUGCUAAUACCGGAUGUGCCGAGAGGUGAAAGAUUUAUUGCCUGGAGAUGAGCUCGCGUCUGAUUAGCUAGUUGGUGGUGUAAGGGACCACCAAGGCGUCGAUCAGUAGCUGGUCUGAGAGGAUGAUCAGCCACACUGGGACUGAGACACGGCCCAGACUCCUACGGGAGGCAGCAGUGGGGAAUUUUCCGCAAUGGGCGAAAGCCUGACGGAGCAAUACCGCGUGAGGGAGGAAGGCUCUUGGGUCGUAAACCUCUUUUCUCAAGGAAGAAGAAAGUGACGGUACUUGAGGAAUAAGCAUCGGCUAACUCCGUGCCAGCAGCCGCGGUAAUACGGAGGAUGCAAGCGUUAUCCGGAAUGAUUGGGCGUAAAGGGUCUGCAGGUGGAACUGAAAGUCUGCUGUUAAAGAGUUUGGCUUAACCAAAUAAAAGCGGUGGAAACUACAGAACUAGAGUGCGGUAGGGGCAAAAGGAAUUCCUGGUGUAGCGGUGAAAUGCGUAGAUAUCAGGAAGAACACCGGUGGCGAAAGCGUUUUGCUAGACCGUAACUGACACUGAGGGACGAAAGCUAGGGGAGCGAAUGGGAUUAGAUACCCCAGUAGUCCUAGCCGUAAACGAUGGAUACUAGGCGUGGCUUGUAUCGACCCGAGCCGUGCCGGAGCUAACGCGUUAAGUAUCCCGGCUGGGGAGUACGCACGCAAGUGUGAAACUCAAAGGAAUUGACGGGGGCCCGCACAAGCGGUGGAGUAUGUGGUUUAAUUCGAUGCAACGCGAAGAACCUUACCAAGACUUGACAUCCUGCGAAUCCCGGUGAAAGCUGGGAGUGCCUUAGGGAGCGCAGAGACAGGUGGUGCAUGGCUGUCGUCAGCUCGUGUCGUGAGAUGUUGGGUUAAGUCCCGCAACGAGCGCAACCCUCGUUUUUAGUUGCCAGCAUUAAGUUGGGCACUCUAGAGAGACUGCCGGUGACAAACCGGAGGAAGGUGAGGAUGACGUCAAGUCAGCAUGCCCCUUACGUCUUGGGCUACACACGUACUACAAUGCUACGGACAGAGGGCAGCAAGCCAGGGAUGGCAAGCGAAUCCAGAAACCGUAGCUCAGUUCAGAUCGAAGGCUGCAACUCGCCUUCGUGAAGGAGGAAUCGCUAGUAAUUGCAGGUCAGCAUACUGCAGUGAAUUCGUUCCCGGGCCUUGUACACACCGCCCGUCACACCAUGGAAGUUGGUCACGCCCGAAGUCAUUACCCCAAC
rnacentral:rRNA from 1 species